UACGUAGGAGGCAAGCGUUGUCCGGAAUUACUGGGCGUAAAGCGCGUGUAGGCGGCCCGGCACGUCGGACGCUGAAAUCCCCCCGGCUCAACCGGGGAACGGGCGCGAUACGACCGGGCUGGAGGGGGGUAGGGGGCGCGGAACUUCCGGUGGAGCGGUGAAAUCGUUGAGAUCGGAAGGAACGCCCGUGGCGAAAGCGGGCGCCUGGACCCACCUGACGCUGAGACGCGAAAGCCAGGGGAGCGAACGGGG
rnacentral:rRNA from 1 species